AUUGAACGCUGGCGGCAGGCUUAACACAUGCAAGUCGAGCGGUAGCACAAGAGAGCUUGCUCUCUGGGUGACGAGCGGCGGACGGGUGAGUAAUGUCUGGGAAACUGCCUGAUGGAGGGGGAUAACUACUGGAAACGGUAGCUAAUACCGCAUAACGUCGCAAGACCAAAGAGGGGGACCUUCGGGCCUCUUGCCAUCAGAUGUGCCCAGAUGGGAUUUGCUAGUAGGUGGGGGAAUGGCUCACCUAGGCGACGAUCCCUAUCUGGUCUGAGAGGAUGACCAGCCACACUGGAACUGAGACACGGUCCAGACUCCUACGGGAGGCAGCAGUGGGGAAUAUUGCACAAUGGGCGCAAGCCUGAUGCAGCCAUGCCGCGUGUGUGAAGAAGGCCUUCGGGUUGUAAAGCACUUUCAGCGAGGAGGAAGGUGGUGAACUUAAUACGUUCAUCAAUUGACGUUACUCGCAGAAGAAGCACCGGCUAACUCCGUG
rnacentral:rRNA from 1 species